rnacentral:misc_RNA from 1 species
UCGCGGGCACCUGUGUCCUG